UGACUGUUGCCAUUGACUGAUGUUACAUCAUGAAGGAGAUACUGAGCUGCCUCUCUGAGUGAACUCAACUUUCUUCACUGCUGACAUCUUGUUCAAGAAGUUAUUUGACUGUUGCCGUUGACUGAUGUUACAUCAUGAAGGAGAUACUGAGCUGCCUCUCUGCGUGAAGUCAACUUUCUUCAUUGCGGACAUCUUGUUGAAGAAGUUAUUUGCCUGUUGCCAUUGACUGAUGUUACAUCAUGAAGGAGAUACUGAGCUGCCUCUCUGAGUGAACUCAACUUUCUUCACUGCUGACAUUCUUUUCAAGAAGUUAUUUGACUGUUGCCAUUGACUGAUGUUACAUCAUGAAGGAGAUACUGAGCUGCCUCUCUGAGUGAAGUCAACUUUCUUCACUGCGGACAGCUGGUUUUCGAAAACGCCCGUUUUGAAAAGGUGUCCUUUGUGUGGAAGAGGGCGCUCCACCGUGCGGAGACCGUAUAAAAUGCCAGGUCCUUGGGCCAUUGGUUUCAUUCUUGUUCUGAUGCUGGUCGUGGAAGGUGCCUUGCCGAUGCUCUUGAUGUUCUGAGCAUGAUGAUGUCAACCUUUGGGUCCUUAGUGGUCUCAGUCCCGUAC